UUCCCCUUAGUAACUGCGAAGUGAAGCGGGAAAAGCUCAAAUUUAAAAUCUGGCGGUCUUUGGCCGUUUCGUGUUGUAGUCUGGAGAAGUGCUUUCCGCGCUGGACCGUGUACAAGUCUCUUGGAACAGAGCGUCAUAGAGGGUGAGAAUCCCGUCUUUGACACGGACUACCAGUGCUUUGUGAUGCGCUCUCAAAGAGUCGAGUUGUUUGGGAAUGCAGCUCAAAAUGGGUGGUAAAUUCCAUCUAAAGCUAAAUAUUGGCGAGAGACCGAUAGCGAACAAGUACCGUGAGGGAAAGAUGAAAAGCACUUUGGAAAGAGAGUUAAACAGUACGUGAAAUUGCUGAAAGGGAAACGCUUGAAGUCAGUCGCGUUGGCCAGGACUCAGCCUUGCUUUAGCUUGGUGCAUUUUCUGGUUGACGGGCCAGCAUCGAUUUCGGUCGUCGGAUAAAGGUUGGGGGAAUGUGGCAUCUUCGGAUGUGUUAUAGCCCUCAGUCACAUACGACGGCUGGGAUCGAGGACCGCAGCACGCCUUUAUGGCCGGGGUUCGCCCACGUUCGUGCUUAGGAUGCUGGCAUAAUGGCUUUAAACGACCCGUCUUGAAACACGGACCAAGGAGUCUAACAUGCCUGCGAGUGUUUGGGUGGAAAACCCGAGCGCGUAAUGAAAGUGAAAGUUGAGAUCCCUGUCGUGGGGAGCAUCGACGCCCGGACCUGACCUUCUGUGAUGGAUCUGCGGUAGAGCAUGUAUGUUGGGACCCGAAAGAUGGUGAACUAUGCCUGAAUAGGGUGAAGCCAGAGGAAACUCUGGUGGAGGCUCGUAGCGAUUCUGACGUGCAAAUCGAUCGUCAAAUUUGGGUAUAGGGGCGAAAGACUAAUCGAACCAUCUAGUAGCUGGUUCUGCGA
rnacentral:rRNA from 1 species